GUAGCCCACUUUCUAUUAUGAGUAUUAGCGACAGCAUUAGCGAUGGCUAAUGCAGUCACUAAAAGUUAAUUUUUUAUUUAAAUUAUGUUAAUUAAAUAUAAUUAGAUAUUAAAAAUUAAUUAAUUAAAUAUUAAUUUAAUUAAUUAGUUAGAUAAUUAAUUAAUUAGAAGCAUGAAAUUUGGGUCUCAGCAUGCACAGCAC
rnacentral:lncRNA from 1 species